GGAUUUGAGGGCGAUCUGGCUGGGACAUCUUUCACCCCAUUCAUGGCCAGGACUGAUUGACCGAUUCGGCUGGCCAGGCCAGUGACCCCUUCUUCUCUCACCAUCUGCAUGCCGAGCUGAGUGCUUGGUCAAAGAGGAUGCCUUUCCCCAUGAGGAACCAGUUCUUCAGUCAAGGAUAUGCAAAUAGCUGCACUUCCCUGCGAGGACCUCCAAACAAGCUCUCACAUGUUAAAUAAUGUCGCUUUCCUUUAACCCCCGACUUGAUCAUGAAAUAUACUUUUUACAUAUCAUCAGAUUUAUUAAUAUUUUGUUAAGGAUUUUUGUGCCUAUGCAUUUCUUU
rfam:Otolemur garnettii contig135429, whole genome shotgun sequence.